CUGGCAAGGCUUUUUUAUUUUUUUUUCUGGGAUGCCUUCCUACGAUGCGUCCCAGAAAAAAAUAAAAUAGCCUUGCCAG
rnacentral:sRNA from 1 species